UUAAGUUCAGCGGGUAGUCCUACCUGAUUUGAGAUCAAACGUUCAAAAAGCUGUCCUCACCGAGGAGAGACAUUUAUGAGCCCCAGCGAACCUUUGUCGCAGAAGGUUACCUGGUGGAAAACCACAAGCGUAGAUAGUUAUCACACCCAUGAUACCACACCAAACACUGGCAAGCUAAUUCAUUUGAGAGGAGCUGACCC
rnacentral:misc_RNA from 1 species